AUUGAACGCUGGCGGCAUGCCUUACACAUGCAAGUCGAACGGUAACAGGUCUUCGGAUGCUGACGAGUGGCGAACGGGUGAGUAAUACAUCGGAACGUGCCCGAGAGUGGGGGAUAACGAAGCGAAAGCUUUGCUAAUACCGCAUACGAUCUCAGGAUGAAAGCAGGGGACCGCAAGGCCUUGCGCUCACGGAGCGGCCGAUGGCAGAUUAGGUAGUUGGUGGGAUAAAAGCUUACCAAGCCGACGAUCCGUAGCUGGUCUGAGAGGACGACCAGCCACACUGGGACUGAGACACGGCCCAGACUCCUACGGGAGGCAGCAGUGGGGAAUUUUGGACAAUGGGCGCAAGCCUGAUCCAGCCAUGCCGCGUGCAGGAUGAAGGCCUUCGGGUUGUAAACUGCUUUUGUACGGAACGAAAAGACUCUGGUUAAUACCUGGGGCUCAUGACGGUACUGUAAGAAUAAGCACCGGCUAACUACGUGCCAGCCGCCGCCGUAACAC
rnacentral:rRNA from 1 species